rnacentral:lncRNA from 10 species
GGCGAGGUCAUGUUUACUCCCCAUUUGCAUUGUUUCUAACGAGUUUCGCUGGCAGAGCCCACCUUGCUGACCCAGGUGCAGCAGCAGAGCUUGACAAUGCUCGGGCUUCCGAUGGAUCCCGCGUGUGAGGCCCUGCGCUUCCAGACAAAGGCGGUGGAUGAUGGCAGCUCGCCUCCAAACACCCUGCUUAACUUUUCCUCUUUGCAAGAAUGUGUGUGGGAAGGUCAGCUAAUGAAAUGCCUGCUCUCCGUGUUGAAGGGCAAUUGCAGGCGAUGUGUACGGUGUACAGGGAAUGUGAAGAAACAAUUUCCUUACCCUGAAUUGAGACGUCAUGCCAUUGUUGGUGGUGAGAAGAAAGCAAUCAAGAGUUAGCCCCCUUGCGGUAGUUUGCUGAGAAUGAUGGUUUCCAGCUUCCACAAUGAGAACACAUGGACACAGGAAGAGGAACAUCACACACCGGGGCCUGUUGUGGGGUGGGGGGAGGGGGGAGGGAUAGCAUUAGGAGAUAUACCUAAUGUAAAGGACGAGUUAAUGGGUGCAGCACACCAACGUCGCACAUGUAUGCAUAUGUAACAAACCUGCACGUUGUGCACAUGUACCCUAAAACUUAAAGUAUAAUAAAAAAAAGAAACAAAAAAAAGAAAAAA